ACUUCCUCCAGGGGGCGCAGAAACAGCGACACGCAUCUUAUUGCCACGUUGGAUUUGAUUGCCGGCAAAAAUGAAGGUUAAAGAAAUAGAUAGAACAGCCAACGUGGCCUGGGCGCCGGCUGUGCACCACCCGAUUAUAUUGCAGCCGGCACUGCCGCUCAGCAGCUGGAUUCCACGUUCAGCACGUCGGCUGCACUCGAGAUAUAUGCACUGAACCUCACGGAGCCAGGACUGGAUAUGGAACUUGUCGGAACUCUUGAUUCCGAUCACAGGUUCCAUAAGAUUGCCUGGGGCUGGCAUGGCAUGUCAGAUGGUGAACUGGCCAGUGGUGUGCUCGUCGGCGGGGCCGACGCUGGCAACCUGCUAGUUUAUGACCCAGCAAAGCUCAUUAAGGGGGAGGAUUCACUCAUUUGCCAAAGAACAAGCAUACUGGCCCUGUGUAUGCACUUGACUUCAACACAUUUCAGGCAAAUCUUCUGGCAUCAGGGUCGACUGACUCGGAAAUCUUCAUAUGGGACCUUAAUAGUCCCAAUGCGCCAAUGACUCCUGGCGCCAAAUCUCAG
rnacentral:lncRNA from 1 species